rnacentral:rRNA from 1 species
UACGUAGGUGACCAGCGUUGUCCGGAUUUACUGGGCGUAAAGAGCGCGCAGGCGGUCGUUCAAGUCGAGUGUGAAAGCCCCGGGCUUAACCUGGGAAUGGCCGUUGAAACUGGCGAACUGGAGUGUGGCAGAGGGGGGUGGAAUUCCGCGUGUAGCAGUGAAAUGCGUAGAGAUGCGGAGGAACACCGAUGGCGAAGGCAGCCCCCUGGGCUAACACUGACGCUCAGGCACGAAAGCGUGGGGAGCAAACAGG